rnacentral:rRNA from 1 species
CAAUGGGCGCAAGCCUGAUGCAGCAACGCCGCGUGCGGGACGAAGGCCUUCGGGUCGUAAACCGCUUUUCUGGGGAAAGAGCAAGGACGGUACCUCAGGAAUAAGUCUCGGCUAACUACGUGCCAGCAGCCGCGGCAAAACGCAGGAGGCGAGCGUUAUCCGGAUUUAUUGGGCGUAAAGCGCACGCAGGCGGCGCUGUGAGUCGGACGUGAAAGCUCCCGGCUUAACCG